GACGAACGCUGGCGGCGUGCUUAACACAUGCAAGUCGAACGGAAAGGCCCUGCUUUUGUGGGGUGCUCGAGUGGCGAACGGGUGAGUAACACGUGAGUAACCUGCCCUUGACUUUGGGAUAACUUCAGGAAACUGGGGCUAAUACCGGAUAGGAGCUCCUGCUGCAUGGUGGGGGUUGGAAAGUUUCGGCGGUUGGGGAUGGACUCGCGGCUUAUCAGCUUGUUGGUGGGGUAGUGGCUUACCAAGGCUUUGACGGGUAGCCGGCCUGAGAGGGUGACCGGCCACAUUGGGACUGAGAUACGGCCCAGACUCCUACGGGAGGCAGCAGUGGGGAAUAUUGCACAAUGGGCGGAAGCCUGAUGCAGCAACGCCGCGUGCGGGAUGACGGCCUUCGGGUUGUAAACCGCUUUCGCCUGUGACGAAGCGUGAGUGACGGUAAUGGGUAAAGAAGCACCGGCUAACUACGUGCCAGCAGCCGCGGUGAUACGUAGGGUGCGAGCGUUGUCCGGAUUUAUUGGGCGUAAAGGGCUCGUAGGUGGUUGAUCGCGUCGGAAGUGUAAUCUUGGGGCUUAACCCUGAGCGUGCUUUCGAUACGGGUUGACUUGAGGAAGGUAGGGGAGAAUGGAAUUCCUGGUGGAGCGGUGGAAUGCGCAGAUAUCAGGAGGAACACCAGUGGCGAAGGCGGUUCUCUGGGCCUUUCCUGACGCUGAGGAGCGAAAGCGUGGGGAGCGAACAGGCUUAGAUACCCUGGUAGUCCACGCUGUAAACGGUGGGUACUAGGUGUGGGGUCCAUUCCACGGGUUCCGUGCCGUAGCUAACGCUUUAAGUACCCCGCCUGGGGAGUACGGCCGCAAGGCUAAAACUCAAAGGAAUUGACGGGGCCCCGCACAAGCGGCGGAGCAUGCGGAUUAAUUCGAUGCAACGCGUAGAACCUUACCUGGGUUUGACAUGGAUCGGGAGUGCUCAGAGAUGGGUGUGCCUCUUUUGGGGUCGGUUCACAGGUGGUGCAUGGCUGUCGUCAGCUCGUGUCGUGAGAUGUUGGGUUAAGUCCCGCAACGAGCGCAACCCUUGUUCACUGUUGCCAGCACGUUAUGGUGGGGACUCAGUGGAGACCGCCGGGGUCAACUCGGAGGAAGGUGGGGAUGACGUCAAGUCAUCAUGCCCCUUAUGUCCAGGGCUUCACGCAUGCUACAAUGGCUGGUACAGAGAGUGGCGAGUCUGUGAGGGUGAGCGAAUCUCGGAAAGCCGGUCUCAGUUCGGAUUGGGGUCUGCAACUCGACCUCAUGAAGUCGGAGUCGCUAGUAGUCGCAGAUCAGCAACGCUGCGGUGAAUACGUUCCCGGGGCU
rnacentral:rRNA from 1 species